GUUAAUAACUUCUUGACAGUUCAACACCAUUAAGUGAUUCCCCACUUCCAUCUUCCUUCUAAACCACCUUUUUAAUGAGAAACUGAUUCUAAUAUACAUAAUGCCCUCUCUGUAUAGAUAUCAAAAGCACAAUCAUAGUUGCUUUCUCACUCCAUUUUUUCCAAAAAAUUCUUCUCUAUCUAUUUGUUAGCAAACAGCACAAAGGGCAUUCUUGUUUGUACAAAGGAAAGAAAAGAUGUCUUCUACUUGUGGGGUUCUCUUCCUCCUUAUAUUCCUUAUGUUAAUUACAAGUUUUGGAGCCUCAAAUUCCCACGCAAAAGGGGAAGAGCCGGAGAUGGUACCAAUAAUUGAGGAGAAGAUGAUGGUGAUGUUAAAUGAGACAAGAAGGAAGCUUGGGAGCUUCAAGAUUUGUGCAAUCUGCACUUGUUGUGGUGGAGCUAAGGGCUAUUGUGUGCCUUCUCCUUGUUGCUAUGCUAUCAACUGCAAUAUACCACAUAGGCCUUUUGGUUUCUGUUCUUUCACUCCCAGAACUUGUAAUUGCUUUGGAUGUCAUCUCUAAAUCCAACUUCAAAUUAUUUCACUUUCUAUAAAGAAAAAAAAAGAAAAAAAGAGUUGGAGGAUCUGAAUUAUAAGUAUUAGAUAUUUUUGGCAUUAAUUCUGUUUGAUUGUCUAAAUGAAGAGGUUAUGUGUAGGUUUUAUUUUUUGGAUUAAAAUUUAAGGGAGAGCUACUUCCAGGUAAGUUUUUUUCUACUUGGUUGGAUUUGUCCCUUAGAAUUAGUGUUACAACUAUAAUUGUUUUUUGUUAUUACUUGUGAAGUAAAGAUAUUAUAUUAUAUAUAAUUGUGUGUGAGAGUUUUAUUGA